rnacentral:rRNA from 1 species
AGAGUUUGAUCCUGGCUCAGGAUAAACGCUGGCGGCGUGCCUAACACAUGCAAGUCGAACGCCCCUCUGGCAACAGAGGGAGUGGCGGACGGGUGAGUAAGACAUGGGUGACCUGCCCUCAGGUGAGGAAUACCACCGGGAAACCGGUGACAAUACCGCAUAGGGUCUCGGCGGCGGGAGCUGACGAGAGCAAAGCCCUU